rnacentral:rRNA from 1 species
GAGUUUGAUCCUGGCUCAGAAUCAACGCUGGCGGCGUGCCUAACACAUGCAAGUCGAACGCGAAAGUGGAACAAUCCAUGAGUAGAGUGGCGAACGGGUGAGUAACACGUGGGUGACCUACCUUCGAAUGGGGGAUAACGUCCCGAAAGGGACGCUAAUACCGCAUAACAUCCUGUCCUUGAACGGAUGGAGAUCAAAGCCGGGGAUCGUAAGACCUGGCGUUUGAAGAGGGGCCCGCGUCCGAUUAGCUAGUUGGUGAGGUAACGGCUCACCAAGGCGACGAUCGGUAACCGGCCUGAGAGGGCGGACGGUCACACUGGGACUGAGACACGGCCCAGACUCCUACGGGAGGCAGCAGUGGGGAAUUGUUCACAAUGGGCGCAAGCCUGAUGACGCAACGCCGCGUGGAGGAUGAAGGUCUUCGGAUUGUAAACUCCUGUUGCUCGGGACGAAAAGCUACGACCUAACACGUCGAAGUCUGACGGUACCGAGUGAGGAAGCCCCGGCUAACUCUGUGCCAGCAGCCGCGGUAAUACAGAGGGGGCAAGCGUUGUUCGGAAUUACUGGGCGUAAAGGGCGCGUAGGUGGCCUUCUAAGUCGAACGUGAAAUCCCUGGGCUCAACCCAGGAACUGCGUCCGAGACUGGGAGGCUUGAAUCCGGGAGAGGGAUGCGGAAUUCCAGGUGUAGCGGUGAAAUGCGUAGAUAUCUGGAGGAACACCGGUGGCGAAGGCGGCAUCCUGGACCGGGAUUGACACUGAGGCGCGAAAGCCAGGGGAGCAAACGGGAUUAGAUACCCUGGUAG